rnacentral:rRNA from 1 species
UACGUCCUACGGGAGAAAGCAGGGGAUCUUCGGACCUUGCGGUAAUAGAUGAGCCUAAGUCGGAUUAGCUAGUUGGUGGGGUAAAGGCCUACCAAGGCGACGAUCUGUAGCGGGUCUGAGAGGAUGAUCCGCCACACUGGGACUGAGACACGGCCCAGACUCCUACGGGAGGCAGCAGUGGGGAAUAUUGGACAAUGGGGGGAACCCUGAUCCAGCCAUGCCGCGUGUGUGAAGAAGGCCUUAUGGUUGUAAAGCACUUUAAGCGAGGAGGAGGCUACUUUAGUUAAUACCUAGAGAUAGUGGACGUUACUCGCAGAAUAAGCACCGGCUAACUCUGUGCCAGCAGCCGCGGUAAUACAGAGGGUGCGAGCGUUAAUCGGAUUUACUGGGCGUAAAGCGUGCGUAGGCGGCUUAUUAAGUCGGAUGUGAAAUCCCCGAGCUUAACUUGGGAAUUGCAUUCGAUACUGGUGAGCUAGAGUAUGGGAGAGGAUGGUAGAAUUCCAGGUGUAGCGGUGAAAUGCGUAGAGAUCUGGAGGAAUACCGAUGGCGAAGGCAGCCAUCUGGCCUAAUACUGACGCUGAGGUACGAAAGCAUGGGGAGCAAACAGGAUUAGAUACCCUGGUAGUCCAUGCCGUAAACGAUGUCUACUAGCCGUUGGGGCCUUUGAGGCUUUAGUGGCGCAGCUAACGCGAUAAGUAGACC